UACGUAGGGGGCAAGCGUUGUCCGGAAUUAUUGGGCGUAAAGAGCUCGUAGGCGGCUUGUCACGUCGGGUGUGAAAGCCCGGGGCUUAACCCCGGGUCUGCAGUCGAUACGGGCAAACUAGAGUAUUGCAGGGGAGACUGGAAUUCCUGGUGUAGCGGUGAAAUGCGCAGAUAUCAGGAGGAACACCUAUUGCGAAGGCAGCUCGCUGGGACGUUACUGACGCUGAGACGCGAAAGCGUGGGGAGCAAACAGG
rnacentral:rRNA from 1 species